AGUGGAUGGGGAGCAACCUAGUUGUGCGUGUGUAAAGGUAGUGCCAAGAAAAGCGAUGAUCAUGUUGGAAAUCAAUUCCCGGUACCCGAAACCGACACAGGUGGGCAAGUAGAGAAUACUAAGGGGCGCGAGGUAACUCUCUCCAAGGAACUCGGCAAAAUGACCCCGUAACUUAGGGAGAAGGGGUGCCACCGAGAGGUGGUCGCAGUGAAGAGGCCCAGGCGACUGUUUAGCAAAAACAUAGGUCUCUGCAAACUCGAAAGAGGAGGUAUAGGGGCUGACGCCUGCCCAGUGCCGGAAGGUUAAAGAAGUUGGUCAGUUUUAGGAUGAAGCUAGCGACUGAAGCCCCGGUGAACGGCGGCCGUAACUAUAACGGUCCUAAGGUAGCGAAAUUCCUUGUCGGGUAAGUUCCGACCCGCACGAAAGGCGUAACGAUCUGGGCGCUGUCUCGGAGAGAGGCUCGGCGAAAUAGGAUUGUCUGUGAAGAUACGGACUACCUGCAUUUGGACAGAAAGACCCUAUGAAGCUUUACUAUAGCUUGGAAUUGUGUUCGGGCUUCCUGUGCGCAGGAUAGGUGGGAGGCGUAGAAGGUAUUCUUGUGGGGAUACUGGAGCCAACGGUGAGAUACCACUCUCAGGAGGCUAGAAUUCUAACUUAAUUAAGGACAGUUUCAGGUGGGUAGUUUGACUGGGGCGGUCGCCUCCAGAAAGGUAACGGAGGCGUACAAAGGUUCCCUCAGACUGGUUGGAAAUCAGUCGAAGAGUGCAAAGGCAGAAGGGAGCUUGACUGCGAGAAGUACAGUUCGAGCAGGGUGGAAACACGGUCUUAGUGAUCCGACGGUGCUGUGUGGAAGGGCCGUCGCUCAACGGAUAAAAGUUACUCUAGGAUAACAGGCUGAUCUCCCCCAAGAGUUCACAUCGACGGGGAGGUUUGGCACCUCGAUGUCGGCUCAUCGCAACCUGGGGCGGAAGUACGUCCCAAGGGUUGGGCUGUUCGCCCAUUAAAGCGGUACGUGAGCUGGGUUCAGAACGUCGUGAGACAGUUCGGUCCAUAUCCGAUGUAGGCGUGAGAAUAUUGAGAGGAGCCUUCCUUAGUACGAGAGGACCGGGAAGGACGCACCGCUGGUGUACCUGUUAUGAUGCCAAUUGUAAACGCAGGGUAGCCAAGUGCGGAGAGGAUAACCGCUGAAAGCAUCUAAGUGGGAAGCCCACCUCAAGAUGAGUAUUCUGGUGUAAGGUCACGGGAAGACGACCCGUAAAUAGGCACGAGGUGGAAGUGCAGAGAUGUAUGAAGCCGAAGUGUACUAAUAGACCGUCGGCUUGA
rnacentral:rRNA from 1 species